rnacentral:rRNA from 1 species
UACGUAGGGUGCGAGCGUUGUCCGGAAUUAUUGGGCGUAAAGAGCUCGUAGGCGGUUUGUUGCGUCGGCCGUGAAAACCUGCAGCUUAACUGUGGGCCUGCGGCCGAUACGGGCAGACUUGAGUUCGGUAGGGGAGACUGGAAUUCCUGGUGUAGCGGUGAAAUGCGCAGAUAUCAGGAGGAACACCGGUGGCGAAGGCGGGUCUCUGGGCCGAUACUGACGCUGAGGCGCGGAAGCCAGGGGAGCAAACGGG